CUACUCAUAAUCUUCGACAAAUGAUUUGCCUCUCAAGCUCAAGAAACGAACUCGGUCGACUGCCUUUGUUCUCCUACUGAGCGCGGGCAAGCACUGAUGGUCGUUUACGGAGAUUCUUUCCGUAAUCAUCCCUGAUCCUCGCCACAUGGCGUAGUGCUGACGCCUUCAUCACAUUUUGGUGUACAGUCAUGUACCGGUGAUAACCAGUGCAGUUUCCAGAUAUUUGUUUGUUUGUUUGCAGUUAUGAUUUUGACGCUGUGGAAGUAACUAUUUUAGUUGGACUGAAACUGACAGGACACGGUGACAUAAGUCGUGGCUACCUUUCUGCCAGUGUUGAGAAGCACAAUGCCAGCUCAGUCAGUUUCUGGCCACUGGAUCAGGCUUGUUUUGCUUGCCAUGGCUGCUGCCCUGUGCACUGAAGCUGCACCCAUCAAGGGUAGCGAUAUUUGUACUAUACUAGGUACUGGCCUCACUGGGAACUUGUGCCAGGUUCAUUCUGUGUGCCAGCCCAGUCCUGCAAGGAAAACAUGGUAUGAGUGCCGAUGUGUGGCUGGCUAUAUCCCUACACCAGACAUGGAUAGGUUAGGAUACCAGCUUUGUAUUCCAAUGCCAACGCCAACUACCCCAACGCCCAAACCGUCUACUCUUCCACCAACUACUAGUAGCAUGCCAACGACUCUGCCAACUACUACACCGCCACAAACUUCAGAAGUGACACGGCGACGACGGCGUAGACGGCGAAGGCGAAGAACCAGAGCUACUCGUGUGCCAACAACAAUUGAACCACCAACUACAUCUGUGUCCCGUAACGAGGAUGGACAAUAGACUGUGUUGCUGUGCCUAAUGGCCUAGCCGUUCAGCGAGCAAUGAACAUUAUCGGAUAUGCGUCACCAGCGCCGCCAUCCAAUCGCGCCUGCGGAGUGGCCUCCUGCCUUCAUCAUUUUUCUUAAAAUUAACUAAUUUUUACAAACAGGCUCCGUCACUUCAUGACCAUUUUGCUCAUCGAUUUUGUCUUCACUCCGCAAACUCCAAGAUCAAUGGAAUAGCAUUUGAAUUAUAUACUAGUAGCCAAGAAUUCUUUUAUAUUAGCCAUCAAUUAUUUAUCGAUGAUGAAUACUGACAUAGAAAAUCAUAUGCUUCGAAACCUGCUCUGUAAUAGGAAAUUCAAUAAAUAUACUUCGGGUCAAUAUGA